rnacentral:rRNA from 1 species
GAAUCUUGGGCAAUGGGCGAAAGCCUGACCCAGCAACGCCGCGUGAGGGAUGAAGGCCUUCGGGUCGUAAACCUCUGUCGGGAGGGAAGAACGAUCGCAAGGUGAACAAUCUUGGGGUCUGACGGUACCUCCAACGGAAGCGCCGGCUAACUCCGUGCCCGCAGCCGCGGUAAUACGGAGGGCGCAAGCGUUGUUCGGAAUCAUUGGGCGUAAAGCGCGUGUAGGCGGCUUGGCAAGUCGGGUGUGAAAUCCCGGGGCUCAACCCCGGAACUGCAUUCGAUACUGCCUGGCUAGAGUCCCGGAGAGGAGGGCGGAUUUCCCGGUGUAGAGGUGAAAUUCGUAGAUAUCGGGAGGAACACCAGUGGCGAAGGCGGCCCUCUGGACGGUGACUGACGCUGAGAUGCGAAAGCGUGGGGAGCAAACAGG